GUUUGUUGUAUGCGGUUUAAGAAAGUGGACCUACGAACGGCGUCGGUCGACAUGGUCACUUAGUCGUUCUUGUCUGACGAGCUUGGUUCCUGCCCUGCAGGUGAAGUGAGGAGUUAGCGCUCUCGUAGAUACUGCUGCUGCCGCCGCCGCCGCUAGUGUAACUGAUGACUAAUUACAGAAAAUCUAUCGGCGCCGUAUAAGCGAGAAAUCAAGCCCUAUACGCGUGACUGUGACACAUCGGUAAAGCCUGUUGCCAGUCUUCCUUUUACAAACGAACCAAAGCCAAACAAGCAAUUUUCCGCGUCUCGGUGACGACAACAACUCCACGGCUAUGCUGGUGAUAAAGUGGAAACGAAAUGGGAAUAAAAUUACUACCUAAACUGUGCCUAAGCUACUGGACAAGCGUAACCACUGCCGCCAUCCCCAUGUACGUUCAUGUUCUUACCACUCGUUAGUAGCUGACUGAACGUGCCGAACAAACAAUUCAUUUUGCGUUUUCGGCAGUCACUGAUUUAAAUAAUCUUAGUGGCGCUGUUUCUCAUAGACUCUAUCGAUGUAUACCGACCCCGAAUCAGAACAAAGGUCUCGUACUUUCAUCAUCCCGUCGCAGAAUGUCCACAUAGGAACGAUUUUUGGGUCGUUACGACAAUCGUUGAGAUGUGCCGUCAACCCGUGCCUCAUUUUUGAC